AUUAAACGCUGGCGGCAUGCCUUACACAUGCAAGUCGAACGGCAGCACGGGAGCAAUCCUGGUGGCGAGUGGCGAACGGGUGAGUAAUAUAUCGGAACGUGCCCAGUCGUGGGGAUAACGUAGCGAAAGCUACGCUAAUACCGCAUACGAUCUAUGGACGAAAGCGGGGGAUCGCAAGACCUCGCGCGAUUGGAGCGGCCGAUAUCAGAUUAGGUAGUUGGUGAGGUAAAGGCUCACCAAGCCGACGAUCUGUAGCUGGUCUGAGAGGACGACCAGCCACACUGGGACUGAGACACGGCCCAGACUCCUACGGGAGGCAGGCAGUGGGGAAUUUUGGACAAUGGCGCAAGCCUGAUCCAGCAAUAGCCGCGUGCCAGGAUGAAGGCCU
rnacentral:rRNA from 1 species